rnacentral:lncRNA from 1 species
UCGGACGCCCCAAUGGGGCCCCCAACGUCCGCGGUGCCCCCAUUACCUCCAUGCCGUUCCCACCCCAAAGUGGCACUUUUUUGCCCCAAAUGAGAACUUUAUGCCCUAAAUAGGGGCAUUUGUUUUCCCCCCAAAUGUGGGCCUUUUCGCCCCAAGUGUGGACCUUUUUGCCCCGGCUGUGAACGUUCUGCCCCAAACGUGGAUCUUUUCCCCCUAAAUGAGGGCCUUUUUGCCCCAAAUGAGGACUUUUCGCCCCGCUCCGUUCCGUUCCGCUCCGUUCCGUUCCGCGUUUUGGCGGCGGCCGUUCAGAUCCGCUCCGGCGGUUCCGCUCUGAUCCGCUCCGGGUUUUACCCGCAGCCGCUCCGCUCCGUCCGACCCCCCCCAGGAUGACGUCGCCGUGGGGCUGAGCCGUGGGGCGGAGCUGUGGGGCCCCCAAUGUUCCCACGGGCGCUGCGGGCGCUGCUGGAGGGGGCGCGGACCCCCCCGGGCCGGGAGGAGGGGUGGUGCUGAGCUCCUAUAGGGCCAAUCCCCCCGAGUCCGACCCACAGCAGACGGAGCUCCGCGAAGCCGACGCGCUCUUCUCGGCCGCCCCACAGCGCUAUGGGG